UAAUUAAUACUGAAAUCGGAUCCAUUUCCUUCCACACUAAUCAGAUCUAUUAUCUCAGCAUGUAUGAAAAACAUCUUCUACUAUCUUUGAUUUUGUGAACCCAAAUUGUUUUACUAUUCUUGAUAGAUAUGUGAAUGAUAUAGCUUGUAUGGUAUUUUUGUCUCUCUAGAUUUUGCACUUAGGGUGUUUGUUUAGUUGAUUUCAUGGAGUUUUAAAGCAUGGAUGAAGCGACGCAUUAUGGCCAGUAUGUUUCUUUUGUGGUUCAAACUUUCUGGGAGAUGUUUCAAGAUAGCAUGGAAGUCACAGUCUAGCAAGGAAGAAAUCCUUGCUGCUGGAAGGUAAGAUGGUUUCAACUUUCAACCAUGCAAAUGCAAAGUUGAUUGAAUUGGCAAUUAUUAUUAAUCAUACAAAAUUUGCUCAGUUGUUUCAUUCUAUAAAUGCUUUGAUUUAUACGAAGUUUCUUUGAGUUGGACUAGCUAAUACACUGAAGAUCUAAGUAAUUCGUCUGCUCGCUUAAUUGGUUUAAAAAAUAAAUGAAAAAACUAGCUAAUACACUCAAGAUCUAGGUAAUUCGUCUGCUGGCUUAGUUUUUUACUGGUAGAUAAUUAAAGACAACCAAUUUGCUAACUUCCUUAGAGGUUUUAGCAUUACCAAAUUUCAGCAGUUGAACACUCGAGGAUAGUCACACACUAACAGGUUGACUCCAACUAAGACGUUGCUUAUGCAGGAACCCCUCAUUUUUAACAACUAUGAUUAGCUGAAACGAAUGUCAAUGUAAUUUCAAAAUUCUGAACCAUGGAAUCAAAAUUCUGAACCAUGGAAUACAUGCAGCGUUGUCAUUGUUUUGUAUGUGUGAGCUGUGAGAAAUCUAUCUGGGUCAGUAAGCUAAAUAUAGUAGAAGAAGGAUCUUUAUACUGUAUCUCUUCUGAAUGUUUAACUACUGCACAUUAUUGAUAGAGCAAAUCAUUCCGAAAGCCCUAGCCAGAUUUUUUCUCGGUCAAUCCAGCAUUUUCGAUUCUCAUGUACCACCUAAAUUAUGUAAGGACGGUGGAGCAUUUGACGGAAUCUGUACUGUCAAUUUAUUCCCACAAAUGAUUUAACAACUCAGACAGAUCACAAGAAUAUAAACAUUCAGCUCAUCUCAUCCUUCUUAUCUACCAUUGACAUUUUUAACAUAAAAAAAUUGUUUAAAUUAUUUAAUCAUCCAAUGGGCUGAAGAAAUUUCGCUGUUUGUCCCCAUAUAAUCUUUCGUCAACUAUAUGCUUUGGCGUGUAAAUUUGACAAACUAGCUAGCUACAUGUAUCCACAUUAACCCACCGUUUCCAAAAGUCUUUGUUCUGUUUAAUAAUCACCAAGACGUGCUGAUGUAGUACAUCUUUUUUUGUAUCAACAAUGAUUGUUGAUUUUUUUCUUCUGUAUCAACUGUAACAGUUGAUCUCAAGCUUUUGGAUCAACUAUGACGGUUGAUCCCUUACGUCAGUUUAUGUUAGUUUGCUUAGCAAGUAUUUCAUUUUCUCGUUUACGUCAAACUCUUUCCUUUAAUCAGUUCGUGUAAGUUUAUAUAAAGGCUGGGACUCUUGUUUACAAGACACAUCUUAUUACCAAUAUUAUUAUCAAGUUUGUUUAUCAAUCUUUUAUCUUAGAAUCUUGAUCAUAGAAUCAGUUUUCUAUUAAGUUUCUGACGAAACUUAAACCUAUCCCCGUUACCCCUGUUCUGUGCUACACUAGUUGGUAUCAGAUACAGAGUUUUUAGAUUUUUAUCUAGAAACAGAUCCUUUCCACAGUUUCCGCAACAACUCAUAACCCUAAAUUUUCAAACAAACCCACCUUUCUUUUCAAUGGGAGAAAAGUUGACACAGACGGAUAUUGAUGCCAUUGUCACAACACUUGAAACAAAGCUCAGCGCAGCACUUGAAACCAAGCUCGGCAACAUAUUUGAAACGUCCUUUAGUUCUUUAGAAACCAGGUUUGAUAAGUUUAUAGAGGAACUGGAGAGACUUAAUCAGAAAAUAAUGCUUAUUAUGAAACAUCAUGUUACGGAGUCACAAGAUGUUAAAGAAGUGUCGCUGUAAACUCAAGAGGAUUCGUCAUCUUUUAAUGAUACUGUAGCUGUUUCAGCUGCAUCUGUGGGCGAAGAAGAAAAUCCAGUCGACAAGGUUUCAUAUGAUUUGUCAGCGAUUAAUGACGCUGCAAAUUUUGGUUGGAGACGGAUUCGAUCCAUUGCCUUUUAAUGUUGUAGCACAACAACACAUAUUUACGAAGAGGAAGGCAUAUGGUGGAGAACAACUUGAUGACAAGGACUACUACUUUAAGCCUAAAAUUUUUUCUAACGAUAAAGAUGAGGUGGUGAUUACAAAGGAAGAAAUUUUUAGUUCCUUGCAAUUGAUUCUGAAAUUCAAUGAGCUAAUCAAUGUGAUGGACCAGGAGAAGAGCGACUCAAACAAAUGUGUUUUCUUUAUGUUCGUAAUCGUUAUUUGUAUGGUUGGUAUCUUUGUGUUCGAUCGAGGAAAACUUAAACACAACUCUUAUGCUACUUUGAGACACAUUUCUUGGAUGCUUCGGUUUAUGAUCUCUAAAACUACAAGUUUUGUGUUUGAUCGUGGUAAGUCGGUAAACGUGAUAUCUACAUUUUUCAUGGAGGAAAAUAAGUCGUAUUCUUUGAUGACAACUUGAAGUCUAGAACAAUAUAUGGAGAAAAUAAAGUUUUUCUUAUUAGCUAACUCGAGGGUGAGUUUUUUUCAAGAAGGGGGACUGAUGUAGUACAUCUUUCUCUGUAUCAACAAUGAUUGUUGAUCCUUUUCUUCUGUAUCAACUGUAACAGUUGACCUCAAGCUUUUGGAUCAACUAUGACUGUUGAUCCCUUACGUCAGUUUAAGUUAGUUUUCUUCGCAAGUAUUUCCUUUUCUAGUUUACGUCAAACUCUUUCCUUUAAUCAAUUUAUGUAAGUCUAUAUAAAGGCUAGGACUCUUGUUUACAAGACACAUCUUAUUAUCAAUAUUAUUAUCAAGUUUGUUUAUCAA